rnacentral:rRNA from 1 species
GUUUAGUGGCGGACGGGUGAGUAACGCGUGAGUAACCUGCCUUGGAGUGGGGAAUAACACAGUGAAAAUUGUGCUAAUACCGCAUAAUGCAUUUAGGUCGCAUGACUUUGAAUGCCAAAGAUUUAUCGCUCUGAGAUGGACUCGCGUCUGAUUAGCUAGUUGGCGGGGCAACGGCCCACCAAGGCGACGAUCAGUAGCCGGACUGAGAGGUUGGCCGGCCACAUUGGGACUGAGACACGGCCCAGACUCC